GACGAACGCUGGCGGCGUGCCUAACACAUGCAAGUUGAGCGGAGGUAGGUGGAGCUUGCUCUAUGUACCUUAGCAGCGAACGGGUGAGUAACACGUAGAUAAUCUGUCCUAUAUUGGGGGAUAGCCCGAUGAAAGUUGGAUUAAUACCGCAUACAGCUAUAUAGUUGCAUGAUUAUAUAGUGAAAGAUUUAUUGAUAUAGGAGGAGUCUGCGGCACAUUAGCUAGUAGGUGAGGUAAGAGCUUACCUAGGCGACGAUGUGUAGCCGGUCUGAGAGGAUGAACGGCCACAAUGGAACUGAGACACGGUCCAUACUCCUACGGGAGGCAGCAGUGGGGAAUAUUGCACAAUGGGGGAAACCCUGAUGCAGCAACGCCGCGUGAGUGAAGAAGGUUUUCGGAUUGUAAAGCUCUGUUAGCAGGGAAGAGGAAGGACGGUACCUGCAGAGGAAGCCACGGCUAACUACGUGCCAGCAGCCGCGGUAAUACGUAGGUGGCAAGCGUUGUUCGGAAUAACUGGGCGUAAAGGAUGCGUAGGCGGUUAAAUAAGUUAUAUGUUAAAUAUAUAGGCUUAACCUGUAGAAAGCAUAUAAAACUGUUUAACUAGAGUGCAGGAGAGGUAAGUGGAAUUCCUAGUGUAGCGGUGAAAUGCGUAGAGAUUAGGAAGAACACCAGUGGCGAAGGCGACUUACUGGACUGUAACUGACGCUGAGGCAUGAGA
rnacentral:rRNA from 1 species